rnacentral:rRNA from 1 species
CGUGUUAAGUCCGGGGUGAAAGCCCACAGCUCAACUGUGGAACUGCCCUGGAUACUGCCAGGCUUGAGAGUCGUCGAGGGUGGCGGAAUGGACGGUGUAGCGGUGAAAUGCAUAGAUACCGUCCAGAACCCCAAUUGCGUAGGCAGCUGCCUAGGCGACAUCUGACACUGAGGCACGAAAGCGUGGGGAGCGAACAGGAUUAGAUACCCUGGUAGUCCACGCCGUAAACGAUGGAUACUCGUUGCCAGCGAUAGACUGUUGGUGACUUAGCGAAAGCGGUAAGUAUCCCACCUGGGGAGUACGCUCGCAAGGGUGAAACUCAAAGGAAUUGACGGGGGCCCGCACAAGUGGUGGAGCAUGUGGUUUAAUUCGAUGAUACGCGAGGAACCUUACCUAGGCUAGAAUGCGCGUGACCGCUUGAGAGAUCAAGCUUUCCUUCGGGACACAAAGCAAGGUGCUGCAUGGCCGUCGUCAGCUCGUGCCGUGAGGUGUUGGGUUAAGUCCCGCAACGAGCGCAACCCCUACUUUUAGUUGCCAGCGGGUCAAGCCGGGGACUCUAGAAGGACUGCCUGCGCAAGCAGUGAGGAAGGCGGGGACGACGUCAGGUCAUCAUGGCCCUUACGCCUAGGGCUACACACGUGCUACAAUGGCCGGUACAGAGGGUCGCUACACGGCAACGUGACGCCAAUCUCACAAAACCGGUCUCAGUUCGGAUCGGAGUCUGCAACUCGACUCCGUGAAGCUGGAAUCACUAGUAAUCGCGUAUCAGCAAUGACGCGGUGAAUACGUUCCCGGGCCUUGUACUCACCGCCCGUC